rnacentral:rRNA from 1 species
AUGGUGUCCUACAUCCUGGCGGGACUCGACUACGACUAUGUGUCCUUCAUCUCCACGAUCUGCGCUUGCACCCAGCAAAUCAAGGUGAGCGAGCUUUACUCGCAGUUGAUCAGCUUUGAAAGCAGGCUGGCCAUGUUUGAAGGCGGAGGGCAGUCCUCCCACUCCUCUGCCAACGCCGUGUCUCGCGGCGGACGCGGUGGAUUCAACCGCGGUGGUGGCCGCGGUGGCAACGGUGGCCGCAAUGGAGGCGGCCGUGGCAAUGGAGGCGGCGGACGUGGUCGUGGCGGCGGCCGCAGCAAUGGAGGAGGCCGCAACGAUCUGCCUGAAGUCUUCUGCCAAAUCUGCACCAAGCCAAAUCACACGGCCAUGGAGUGCUAUCGUCGUUUUGAUGUCUCCUUCAACAAGGAGAAAACUGCAGCAGCCGUCAACACCAACUCCUCCUACGGGGUGGACACGAACUGGUAUGUGGACUCAGGUGCAACAGACCACAUUACCAGCGAGCUCGACAAGCUCACUGUCCGUGACAAGUACAACGGACACGAUCAAGUAAACGUGCCAAACGGCGCAGGACAAGGCAACGAGGAAAACCCUCCUCCACGGCAGGUGUAG